AUGGACGCGGGAGGCGACGACACGCGGCCCCACCCCGGCCGCCGGGACCGUGCCGAGCCACUGACGAGACCGACCGCGAUCGC
rnacentral:ncRNA from 1 species